rnacentral:lncRNA from 1 species
UUCAAACACAAACACAGUCUGCAAGUAUAUAAAGGAAAAAACACCAUCUCUUCUUGCCUCGUCGGUCUCUCUCGAUUUGAAAUCCUGUUUGGAGAUAUUUUAGCAAGAAAAUCGUCCUCUGCUUUCCUUUUCCCACUGUGGCUGUGGCUGCCAUUUUCUCUCUAGAGUCAUGAUGAUUCUUCUUUUUGUCAAUUUUUCUCGUUUCCAGAUCUCUCUUUUUAUUCUAUUGCUAUGAGAUAAUGUUUGAUACAUGAAACUCCACGUAAUUUGACAAGAAAUCCUCACUCGUACAGGUAUGAUUAUGCUGUUUUUUUGUGAAUG